rnacentral:rRNA from 1 species
CGCCCCCGGCUUUAUAAUCGUGGGGUCCUGCCUGCCCGGUGAUCUUUUGAUUAAACGGCUGCGGUACUCUGACCGUGCAAAGGUAGCAUAAUCAUUUGCCUGUUAAUUCCAGGCUGGAAUCAAUGGCUAGACGAAGAAAAUUCUGUCUCUUUUCGUAAAUUUAGAAUUUAGUAUUUUGGUGAAGAAACCAAAAUGUGAUAGUGGGACGAGAAGACCCUAUUGAGCUUUAAUCCUUUUCUUAUUACAAAAAUUAGUCAAGAAUUUUAGUUGGGGCAACUUAUUUUUUAUUAAGACAAAAUAUUUGUAAAUUAUUUAAAUAUAUAAAUGAUCCACAAUAGUUGUGAUAAAAAGAAAAAGUUACCAUAGGGAUAACAGCGUAAUUUUCUUCGAGAGUACUUAUUGACAAGAAAGUUUGCGACCUCGAUGUUGGAUCAAGAUUUCCUGAAGGUGCAGCCGUUUUCGAGGGUAGGUUUGUUCAACCUAUAAAAUCUU